UAAAGACUGCGAGACCACCUCGCAUCACCUGAAUGCAACUCAGACACUUUAAUUAAGCUAAGACCUU
rnacentral:tRNA from 1 species